rnacentral:lncRNA from 1 species
CGGCUCCAUGGAGCCUGAUUUUUAAAAAAAAAAAUACAAAAACCAAAUUUAAGAUUUAUUUUUUGACAAAAGUUACGCAUGAAUAUAAGGAUGUAUAUUAUAUUACAUCUCGGUACAUUUUCCCGAUGAUUACGUUGUGGUUCAAGCUACACACUAGAAAUCAUGUCUUUCUAGCACAUAUACUAUUCACUAUAAAAGUUUAUGAUUUUCUUUUUUAUACGGAUCACACUAAAAUGCUUUUGAUCGAUGAGAGUUUACAUAAAUGUGGUAUAUAUCAAAAAAUUUGUUGUAUAUUUUCGGAAUAUUUUGAUUUUGAAUUUUUCAAAAACACAACUCAAUGGAGCUUGGGAGCAAAAAAUACACUCUCAAAUUAAAAAUAGUAGGGCACUACAUAGAAAUAUUUGACACAUGGAUAAGUUUUUGUACAUACAAGCAUGUAUAAAAAAUUACACAAUCAUAUUCAUGUAUACCGUUUCCUUGUAAAUUAGGAUUUCUUGAAUUCUGCAAGGGAAUAUAAGAAUUUGUCAGUACAAAAAAUAAAAUUGAAAGGCAUAAGCAAUGUAGACACACGUAAUACAUACAUUACACAUUGUAGUAUUUUUUAGUUAUGGUAAAAAAGGAAUGAUAUCACACAUGCACACUUUUCAAACAAUAUCAUCCACAAAACAUCACUAAUGAACUAGUUUAGUCCUCUGAAAAAAGAACCGGUUAUAAGCAAUAUAGUCACAUAGCAUACUCAGUAAUCAACCAUGACCAAUGCUAAACCUGAUCGCUAGAGUAGCAAUAAAACUAUUUGUUAUAUUUUUUUGAUGACUUGAUUUAUGAGAAGACACAUAUAGUAUUACCUAAACUACCCAUUAUAUUUUCUCUAGAUAGAAGACGGGAAAAAGGGGCAUGUUUGUCCUCAGAUAGACAUUCAAAACUUAAAGGAUAUAAAUAUACUAACCUGAGUUGUCACAGAAGUAUCCACGAAUCUCUCCCUUUUUCCUUGAGAAAGCACCACUUCAGAAUCUACUUCCGGUUCACCACCAUGAUCUAUUUCUUGGAUUUCUCCAAAACUAUCUGUAAGUGUCCUCUCACUAUCACUCAGGGCUCUCUCGGGGAAAUCACUCAAAUCUUGUGGAUUUUCCUUCAUCUGGCUUCUUGAUUCCCUUGCUUCCUUAGUAGCAUAGAUACAACCAUGGGGAUUUUUGUCCAUCUCUCUUCUCUAGAUCUAUCGGUUGUUUUGAGUUGAGG